ACAGCUGGUCCUGGCUGCGUGCCUCUGCCGUCUCAGCAGCUGGAGGUGGGGGAAGGUUCUAGUCCAAGCAGGACCCCAGCCGGCCAUGUGGCUGAGGUCAGGGCCACUGCUCUCCGCACCCAGUUUCCUCCUCUGAGCCGCGAAGGAGGUGGGGGAAGGUUGCCAGACAAAAGGUGGGAUGCCCAGUUUAAUGUGAGUGUCAGGUAAACAGCAAACACAUUUCAGUGUGAGUGUAUUCCAUGCAAUCUUUGGGACACACUUACACUAAACAAUGACUUAUUUUCUAUCUGAUAGUGGAUGUGACCUGCGCAGCCUGUAUUUUCAUUGCAGAUGAGGCCAGUGACCUUCAUGGCACAGGGCUGACCUUUUGUGGUCUGACCCCUGAGGACCAUGACUUGGACAUGGCUGACAAGUGUCAGGAUGAGAAGUUCUUCCGGAUGCUGGCCCAGGAGACCCCCCAGGAAGACCGUCCCUUCACCCUAUGUGGUAUCUGUAGGUGUAUUGUCAGCUGGGUGAAGAAUUGCCUGGGCUUCAACCUGAUUCAGAAAGUCAUUGAAAAAGUUGCAGGCCUGUUGUGUUCAGCAUGCCCAUUGGUGGAAAAUAUCUGCAAAGCAUGGAUUACCAGUUUUCUUGAUAAAAUCACCUCUACACUGCUGCAUAUGGAACCUUCCAGGCACAUCUGUGUGUUUCUCGGGAUGUGCUGCCCUUACUAGGUCUCUGAGCCUCUGGGGUCUCUGACGUCACCCUGGGAAGAAGCACAGAGUCUCCCACAACCACCACCUGCUUCUGCCCUCCCAGAUCCACAGCCGACCCUCCAGUGUCUCUCAGCUAACUUCUCAUUGCCUUCCCCUGAGGGAGAAUAAAUGUCAUGCAAGCUUUUA